rnacentral:rRNA from 1 species
UACGUAGGGGGCUAGCGUUGUCCGGAAUCAUUGGGCGUAAAGCGCGUGUAGGCGGUCCGGUAAGUCCGCUGUGAAAGUCGGGGGCUCAACCCUCGAAUGCCGGUGGAUACUGUCGGGCUAGAGUGCGGAAGAGGCGAGUGGAAUUCCUGGUGUAGCGGUGAAAUGCGCAGAUAUCAAGAGGAACACCUGCGGCGAAGGCGGGUUGCUGGGCCGACACUGACGCUGAGGCGCGAAAGCUAGGGGAGCGAACGGG